rnacentral:rRNA from 1 species
GAUGAACGCUGGCGGCGUGCCUAAUACAUGCAAGUCGAGCGAACAGACGAGGAGCUUGCUCCUCUGACGUUAGCGGCGGACGGGUGAGUAACACGUGGAUAACCUACCUAUAAGACUGGGAUAACUUCGGGAAACCGGAGCUAAUACCGGAUAAUAUAUUGAACCGCAUGGUUCAAUAGUGAAAGACGGUUUUGCUGUCACUUAUAGAUGGAUCCGCGCCGCAUUAGCUAGUUGGUAAGGUAACGGCUUACCAAGGCAACGAUGCGUAGCCGACCUGAGAGGGUGAUCGGCCACACUGGAACUGAGCCACGGUCCAGACUCCUACGGGAGGCCGCAGUAGGGAAUCUUCCGCAAUGGGCGAAAGCCUGGCGGAGCAACGCCGCGUGAGUGAUGAAGGUCUUCGGAUCGUAAAACUCUGUUAUUAGGGAAGAACAAAUGUGUAAGUAACUAUGCACGUCUUGACGGUACCUAAUCAGAAAGCCACGGCUAACUACGUG